CCAUUUUCUAAAUAGAGAAAAAAAAAAAGGGACUAUUCGUCUUCUCCACAACCCCAGAACCCCCAGCCCCAUCCCCACGCCCAAGACACUGACCACUGCCACCAAACCAACCGACAUCGCACCACCGACCCAAAUCUCAAACUACAACACAAAAAUCUCGCUCAAAUCUGAAAGAAUUCAAAAAAAUUGCAGACGUUUCUCUCCCAACAUGAGUGCAACCAAGAGAUGCUAUUCGAGCCUUAACAACGCCCUGCCAUCCUGUCCGAAUCUGUUCAUCAUCGUCAUCAACCUUCCUAAGGCUUAAAUGCUAUGUAUCACCUCAAUCCUGCAACAAUUGUUGCUGCUGCUAAUUCACCUGCAAAAUAUGGUGGGAACUCAAAAAAAUUUUUGUUGCGCUGGCGCAAAUGAGAUCAUUUUCUGUUGAUGAUUUCGGCAUGGAGGAAAAUAUAUUGAAUUCGUCGUCACUGAUGAAGGUUGAGAAUUAUCAAUGGCGAAUGGUAAAAAAAAAAAAGCCUCGAAGAUGGAGACGGAAAUCUUACUGGAGUGUUACAAGAACUAUUAAAACCGAAAAUUGGAGACUUUAGGAUAAAUUACCAAUUUCGGCAAGUAGAAAAAGAAAUUCAAUUUAUUAAAAAUGAAAAACAGAAACCCAAUUGAAAAUCUUGAUAAAACUUUGAAACCCAGAAUUUAGUUUCAUGAGAAACAAAACAAAAAUCCCAAGUUCAAGAAUCUACCAAGAACAGAAAAGAAGAAGGCUGAGUUUGCAGCGGCGGCGGACGGUGAGGGGUCAGUGGUCGGUGGAUUUUCUGUUUUUGGUUUUGGGAAAUGAUUGGGGUGGUGUGUGUGGCUGUG
rnacentral:lncRNA from 1 species